CGUGGCUUCCAAUAGACAAGGUUAAGGUGUUUCUGAACUCUUUUUGUGUUACAUUCGUGACCGCACUCUGACGCUAACAUUUUUAUUUAAACAACUAAGUUCAACUGUGACUCUUCAUGGCCAAUUUUGUGUUUUGAGUCAAACAUAUGAUUAACUUGAAAGCUAUGUAUCCCUAAUCAAACAACAAGUUUUGUUUGAAAGUUAUAACAUGAUUUAACCAUUGCUGCGAAUAAGUUCAAAUCUUUUUUAAAAGUGAAUAUCGAAUUAUGAUAGACUGUUUCGCCUUUGAAAGAAAUACUCAUGAAAAUCCACUAAUAGAUAACUAGUGUUGAAUAAAUAUAUACACUUACAAUCUGCAAUAAAUGGUUAUGCGCAAAUCGACCCAGACAGACAGGUAGCAAGAACCAAAAGAAAUUACGUCACCAUGCGAGGGGCGUCUGCUGAGGGGAAAGACUCCCAAGACAUUUGUGCAGUCAAGAAAAAUGACAGAUAAGGAUCAGGAAAAGGCUGAGUCUCUCGUGGUCUUAAUGACUCUGGGUGACUGAAUUACGAAUGUUUUUUAUUUCAGUGCGGGUUGUUUGUGGUAAGUCAUUGAAUUUCCCGUUGUUCUUCGUCGUGAUUCGAGUGCUGGAAAAAAAAAAGGGGAGGAAAAGGCAUAGAUCGAGGAAGAUUAUGAUGGAUGGCUGUCGUUUGAAAGGAGGUAUAUAAAACUGGAAGCUGAAGGAUUAAGACGCACGUCGGAUAAUUAGGAGAAAAUGACUCAAACCAAUAAAUGACAAAAACGAAAAAAAUUGUAAAA
rnacentral:lncRNA from 1 species